rnacentral:rRNA from 1 species
GAUGAACGCUGGCGGCGUGCCUAAUACAUGCAAGUCGAGCGAACAGACGAGGAGCUUGCUCCUCUGACGUUAGCGGCGGACGGGUGAGUAACACGUGGAUAACCUACCUAUAAGACUGGGAUAACUUCGGGAAACCGGAGCUAAUACCGGAUAAUAUAUUGAACCGCAUGGUUCAAUAGUGAAAGACGGUUUUGCUGUCACUUAUAGAUGGAUCCGCGCCGCAUUAGCUAGUUGGUAAGGUAACGGCUUACCAAGGCAACGAUGCGUAGCCGACCUGAGAGGGUGAUCGGCCACACUGGAACUGAGACACGGUCCAGACUCCUACGGGAGGCAGCAGUAGGGAAUCUUCCGCAAUGGGCGAAAGCUUGACGGAGCAACGCCGCGUGAGUGAUGAAGGUCUUCCGAUCGUAAAACUCUGUUAUUAGGGAAGAACAAAUGUGUAAGUAACUAUGCACGUCUUGACGGUACCUAAUCAGAAAGCCACGGCUAACUACGUG